rnacentral:rRNA from 2 species
AUACAUGCAAGUCGAGCGGAUUGAUGGGAGCUUGCUCCCUGAUAUCAGCGGCGGACGGGUGAGUAACACGUGGGUAACCUGCCUGUAAGACUGGGAUAACUCCGGGAAACCGGGGCUAAUACCGGAUAACUCAUUUCCUCGCAUGAGGAAAUGUUGAAAGGUGGCUUUUAGCUACCACUUACAGAUGGACCCGCGGCGCAUUAGCUAGUUGGUGAGGUAACGGCUCACCAAGGCAACGAUGCGUAGCCGACCUGAGAGGGUGAUCGGCCACACUGGGACUGAGACACGGCCCAAACUCCUACGGGAGGCAGCAGUAGGGAAUCUUCCGCAAUGGACGAAAGUCUGACGGAGCAACGCCGCGUGAGUGAUGAAGGUUUUCGGAUCGUAAAGCUCUGUUGUUAGGGAAGAACAAGUGCCGUUCGAAUAGGGCGGCACCUUGACGGUACCUAACCAGAAAGCCACGGCUAACUACGUGCCAGCAGCCGCGGUAAUACGUAGGUGGCAAGCGUUGUCCGGAAUUAUUGGGCGUAAAGCGCGCGCAGGUGGUUCCUUAAGUCUGAUGUGAAAGCCCACGGCUCAACCGUGGAGGGUCAUUGGAAACUGGGGAACUUGAGUGCAGAAGAGGAAAGUGGAAUUCCAAGUGUAGCGGUGAAAUGCGUAGAUAUUUGGAGGAACACCAGUGGCGAAGGCGACUUUCUGGUCUGUAACUGACACUGAGGCGCGAAAGCGUGAGGAGCAAACAGGAUUAGAUACCCUGGUAGUCCACGCCGUAAACGAUGAGUGCUAAGUGUUAGGGGGUUUCCGCCCCUUAGUGCUGCAGCUAACGCAUUAAGCACUCCGCCUGGGGAGUACGGUCGCAAGACUGAAACUCAAAGGAAUUGACGGGGGCCCGCACAAGCGGUGAGCAUGUGGUUUAAUUUCGAAGCAACGCGAAGAACCUUACCAGGUCUUGACAUCCUCUGACAACCCUAGAGAUAGGGCU